GGGGCCGUAGCCCAAUGGCAGAGGCAAACGAUUUAGGGUCGUUGCAGUGAGGGUUCGACUCCCUCCGGCCCCA
rnacentral:tRNA from 1 species